rnacentral:pre_miRNA from 1 species
GCCAGGAAGAGGAAGAAAUGAGUGCCCAAGAGCAGUCGGCAUGAGAACAUGGAGGAAAGCCCGAACUAUCUUUACCUCUGAAAUUCAAGGGUUCAGAUCAGUUCCGGUGUUUUCUCGAUGCCUCUCAUGCCUAUUGUUCUUAGGCGCUCCUUCCUCUUCCUACAUGCU